AUUGAACGCUGGCGGCAGGCCUAACACAUGCAAGUCGAACGGCAGCACAGAAGAGCUUGCUCUUUGGGUGGCGAGUGGCGGACGGGUGAGUAAUGUCUGGGAAACUGCCCGAUGGAGGGGGAUAACUACUGGAAACGGUAGCUAAUACCGCACAACGUCGCGAGACCAAAGUGGGGGACCUUCGGGCCUCACACCAUCGGAUGUGCCCAGAUGGGAUUAGCUAGUAGGUGGGGUAAUGGCUGACCUAGGCGACGAUCCCUAGCUGGGCGGAGAGGAUGACAAGCCACACUGGAACUGGGACACGGUCCAGACUCCUACGGGAGGCAGCAGUGGGGAAUAUUGCACAAUGGGCGCAAGCCUGAUGCAGCCAUGCCGCGUGUAUGAAGAAGGCCUUCGGGUUGUAAAGUACUUUCAGCGGGGAGGAAGGCGGUGAGGUUAAUAACCUCGCCGAUUGACGUUACCCGCAGAAGAAGCACCGGCUAACUCCGUGCCAGCCGCCGCCGUAA
rnacentral:rRNA from 1 species